rnacentral:rRNA from 1 species
CGCGCUUCCCAGCUAUGUGGGAGGAGCGGCGUACAGCUCAGUAACACGUGGCUAACCUUCCCUUGGGACGAGAACACCCCCGGGAAACUGGGGCUAAUUCUCGAUAGGUGAAGAACUCUGGAAUGAGUCUUCGCCUAAAAGUCAUUUGGAUCAUGCUUCCAGGUGGCGCCCAAGGAUGGGGCCGCGACCGAUCAGGUUGUUGGUGAGGUAAUGGCUCACCAAACCUAUAACCGGUACGGGCCGCGGGAGCGGGAGCCCGGAGAUGGGAACUGAGACAAGGUCCCAGGUCCUACGGGGCGCAGCAGUUGCGAAAACUCCGCAAUGCACGAAAGUGUGACGGGGCUACCCCGAGUGCCGUCCGCUGAGGAUGGCUUUUCCCUGGUGUAAGGAGCCGGGGGAAUAAGGAGAGGGCAAGUCUGGUGUCAGCCGCCGCGGUAAUACCAGCUCUCCGAGUGGUAGGGAUGUUUAUUGGGCUUAAAGCGUCCGUAGCUGGCUUUUCAAGUCUCUCGUUAAAUCCAGCGAUUCAAUCGUUGGGCUGCGGGAGAUACUGUUAGGCUGGGGAGCGGGAGAAGCCGACGGUAUUUCCGGUGUAGGGGUAAAAUCCUAUAAUCCCGGGAGGACCACCAGUGGCGUAGGCGGUCGGCUAGCACGCGCCCGACGGUGAGGGACGAAAGCUGGGGGAGCAAACCGGAUUAGAUACCCGGAUAGUCCCAGCUGUAAACGAUGCGGGCUAGGUGUUGGAGCGGCCACGUGCCGUUCUAGUGCCGCAGGGAAGCUGUUAAGCCUGCCGCCUGGGGGAGUACGAUCGCCAAGAUUGAAACUUAAAAGGAAUUGGCGGGGGGAGCACCACAAAGGGGUGAAGCUUGGCGGUUUAAUUUGGAUUCAAC